AUUCAUCGCGCCGUUGCCGGAAAUUUACACUUAUACUGUGUGACUUUUUAUUGGUUGAACAACUUCGUAAAUAGAUGUUCCAAGGUGAUAUCGAGCACAUGCAACAUAAUGUGGAGCAACCACCUCCGACGUCUGCAGGUGGGGGGGCCCAGGAAUCAGUCAUUACAGUUGGACAAGAGGAACAACCCCAGUUAGAAAGGAAAAAAAGGAAGUUGGCGUCAAAGUUCCCUUUGGUGGAUAUUUCCAGAAAUAUGCUAUUGGCAUACCAGAGUCUUGGGGUGGUGUAUGGAGAUUUGAGCACUUCACCACUUUAUGUCUAUAAGAGUAUAUUUGUGGGGAAGUUGCAGGAUUAUCAGACUCCAGAAACAAUAUUUGGUGCAUUUUCGUUGAUCUUCUGGACAAUAACUCUUAUUCCUUUGAUCAAAUAUGUACUUAUUGUACUGAGUGCUGAUGAUAAUGGUGAAGGUGGUACAUUUGCUCUUUACUCUCUACUCUGUAGACAUGCAAAAUUCAGUCUACUUUCCAACCAACAAGCAGCUGAUGAGGAGCUAUCUGCUUACAAAUAUGGCUUUGCUGGGCAGUCCACAUCGUGUUCAGCGUUAAAGAGAUUUCUUGAGAAACACAAGAAGUCACGUGCAGUUUUACUCAUUAUUGUAUUGUUGGGGGCUUGCAUGGUCAUUGGUGAUGGUAUUCUAACGCCUGCAAUGUCAGUUAUAUCGGCCAUAUCAGGAAUCAAGGCUGCUGCGGAACACCUAUCUCACGGUGAAGUGCUGGUGCUUUCUUGCCUGAUAUUGGUUGGUCUGUUUGCUCUACAGCAUUCUGGGACCCAUAGGGUUGGCUUUUUGUUUGCACCGAUAGUAAUCAUUUGGUUGAUAUCGAUUUUUGGGAUUGGGCUCUACAACGUUAUUAUUUGGAAUCCCAAGAUUGUGCAUGCUCUUUCUCCCUAUUAUAUCAUCAAGUUUUUUAGGGAAACAAGAAAACACGGAUGGUUUUCUCUUGGUGGUGUCCUCCUCUCUGUUGCAGGUACAGAAGCUAUGUUUGCAGAUCUUGGUCACUUCACUUCCUGCUCAAUGAGGAUUGCCUUUUCAUUUCUUGUAUAUCCUUGCUUGGUGGUACAGUAUAUGGGUCAGGCUGCUUUUCUGUCCAAAAAUCUUGCUUCUAUUCCAGACAGCUUUUAUAAUUCAAUACCUGAUAGUGUAUAUUGGCCUGUUUUUGUCAUUGCUACCCUUGCGAGCAUUGUUGCCAGCCAGUCCAUCAUCACAGCUACAUUCUCCAUAGUCAAGCAAUUGAAUGCACUAGGUUGCUUCCCCCGAGUGAAGAUUGUCCACACCUCAAAGCAUGUUAAAGGGCAAAUCUAUAUACCAGAAAUAAAUUGGAUCCUUAUGAUUCUUACACUUUCCGUGGCAGUUGGGUUCCAGGACACAAUUUUAAUGGGAAAUGCAUACGGCCUAGCUUGCAUGACUAGUAUGUUUAUCACAACGUUUCUCACCACACUGGUCAUGAUUUUUGUGUGGCAAAGAAACAUAGUUCUUGCCACUUGCUUUCUCCUAUUUUUCUGGUUCAUUGAAGGUGUGUACCUGUCUUCCGCGUUCACUAAAGUUCCACAGGGAGGAUGGGUCUCCCUAGUGCUCGCCUUUGUCUUCCUAGCAGUCAUGUUUGUCUGGCAAUAUGGAACUCGCAAGAAGUACAAUUUUGAUCUGCACAACAAAGUUCCAUUGAAAUGGCUCCUUGGCAUGGGCCCCAGUCUUGGUAUUGUGCGCGUCCCCGGGAUAGGCCUUGUAUACUCAGAAUUGGCAACAGGGGUUCCAGCUAUCUUCUCUCACUUUCUGACGAAUCUCCCUGCAUUUCACAGUGUGUUGGUGUUUUUAUGUGUCAAAUCUGUUCCAGUACCCUAUGUCUCACCUGAGGAACGCUUCCUCAUUGGUCGCAUUUGUCCAAGACCCUAUCGCAUGUAUCGUUGCAUUGUUAGGUAUGGCUACAAGGACAUACAGAGAGAUGAUGGGGACUUUGAGGACCUUCUCAUCCAAAGUAUAGCAGAGUUUAUCCAAAUGGAAGCUGUGGAACCACAGUUGUCAAGCUCCGAGAGUCCAUCACUUGAUGGGAGGAUGGCAGUCAUAAGCAAAAAAAACGUACAGUCGACUUCAACACUAAUUGUCUCAGAGGAUUUUGGAAUGAGGGACUCCAUUCAAAGCAGCAAGUCUCUUACUCUCCAGAGUCUAAGAUCUGCUUAUGCUGAGGAGAACCCACAAAUAAGGAGGCGACGAGUGAGGUUUCAAUUGCCAGAAAACCCUGGCAUGGAUCCAGCUGUUAAGGCAGAGCUUGAAGAUUUAAUUCGAGCAAAGGAGGCAGGGGUUGCAUAUAUAAUGGGGCACUCCUACGUGAAAGCUAGAAGAUCGUCCUCUUUCUUAAAGAAGUUUGCUAUUGACAUUGGGUAUUCAUUUCUGCGCAAGAACUGUAGGGGUCCUUCCGUGGUGCUUAACAUUCCUCAGAUUAGUCUUAUUGAAGUUGGCAUGAUAUACCAUGUCUAGAGGGAAAAUAACCUGGCAUUGGAAUUUAACAUGCCGUUUGGUUGUUGCCUGCAGAAUGUUUAGGCUUAGUAGAUGAUUGAUAGUCCUAACAUCAAAUGCGAUAUCCGAUAGCAAAUGUUGAGGAGAAGCUGGUAGAUGAUGUUGGUAGUCUUAUGGAAUCAAAUGUGAAAUAUCAGAAUAGAAGAACUGGUUUAGUUGUUUCAUGUCCUACACCUUCUAUAAUUAGCAUUGUACUUGAGAGUUGGAGUACAUCAAGUGACAAACCUCAAAGUCCAUUUAGGAUGAA